GACGAACGCUGGCGGCGUGCCUAAUACAUGCAAGUCGAGCGCCGAAGGAUGGUACUUGUGCCCACUGGAUGAGCAGCGAACGGGUGAGUAACGCGUGGGGAAUCUGCCUUUGAGCGGGGGACAACAACUGGAAACGAAUGCUAAUACCGCAUAAAAACUUCAAACACAAGAUUUAAGGUUGAAAGAUGCAAUUGCCUCACUCAAAAGUGAUCCCGCGGUGUAUUAGCUAGUUGGUGAGGGAAAGGCCCACCAAGGGGAAGAUACAUAGCCGGCCUGGAAGGGAGAUCCGCCCAAAUUGGAAUGAGACACGGCCCAAGCCCCCACGGGAGGGAGCCGUAGGGAAACUUCGGCAAUUGACGAAAGUCUGACCGAGGAACGCCGGGGUAGGGAAGAAGGGUUUCGGGUCGGUAAACUCCUUUUGUUGAGAAGGACGUUGGUGAGAGUGGAACGCUCCUGAAGUGACGGUAACUAAACAGAAAGCGACGGCUAACUACGUG
rnacentral:rRNA from 1 species